AACAUGUGCGGCGCUCGCAUGAGUUUUCAUAUAAUUGUCUUCUUAUUUCGCAGGGUCCCGCAGGAGCCGCCGAAGGAGCAAGUGCCAAGCACGUGUGAAUUGCCAAGAUGACUGAGCAGUGUUCACUGUAGCAGCCUCCCGAAUAGCCAAGGAGUUUAAUCAUCUGCAAAGUGUUGUCUGUAUAAAGAUGUGCCAAAGUUGUUGUCCCAAGAAACUCAUCCGGACAAGUCUGACGUAUGUGCCACCUGAAGUAGAGUCUGCUCUGCCCUUGACUGACUUUUGUGUGUGUGUUUAUAGUCGAGAGCAGAUAUCCGUCUUCAGAGGUGGCACCUUUCAGUCAAUUGUACACUAUCUACUGUGCAAGUUAAAUAGCUGUUCCCACCCUGCAUCUCCUGCAGUGCAACCCAGCAUGACUCACUGCUCACACUCCAAACAGACAGAUGGUCAUUACAUACAGUGCUUUUG